rnacentral:lncRNA from 1 species
AACAUGGCGGCCGUCCCCUUCCUCCUCCUCCUCCCCCCCUCCCACGGGGGACGCUGCCCGGCCCAGGCCGGGGGGCCUGACCUGUCGUCAGGGAGCGGGAGGCGGUGGUGGAGGAGGUGCGGGGUGGCCGCGCGGCCGUCGGGGGAACACGGAGGAGGCGAAGGCGUUGAUGGCGGCGGUGGCGAUGGCGGCGGUGGCGACUCUGAUGGCGGCGGCGGGGGGGUCCCGGGCACGGCCUCCAUCGUUCCUUUGAGGGGGAGGGGAUGUUAAUGCACCAAAAAGGACUGCUUGGGCGUGGCGGGAGGGGCACACUUCAGCGCUCCGGGGCCUCCUGAUGGGAACUGGGCAUAUAGAUACAUAGAUCGAUA